rnacentral:rRNA from 1 species
GGACCCGCACAAGCGGUGGAUGAUGUGGAUUAAUUCGAUGCAACGCGAAAAACCUUACCUACCCUUGACAUGUCCAGAAGCUCUUAGAGAUUUGAGUGUGCCCGAAAGGGAGCUGGAACACAGGUGCUGCAUGGCUGUCGUCAGCUCGUGUCGUGAGAUGUUGGGUUAAGUCCCGCAACGAGCGCAACCCUUGUCGUUAAUUGCCAUCAUUUAGUUGGGCACUUUAACGAGACUGCCGGUGACAAACCGGAGGAAGGUGGGGAUGACGUCAAGUCCUCAUGGCCCUUAUGGGUAGGGCUUCACACGUCAUACAAUGGUCGGUACAGAGGGUUGCCAAGCCGCGAGGUGGAGCCAAUCCCAGAAAGCCGAUCGUAGUCCGGAUUGCAGGCUGCAACUCGCCUGCAUGAAGUCGGAAUCGCUAGUAAUCGCGGAUCAGCAUGUCGCGGUGAAUACGUUCCCGGGUCUU